UGCAAGUCGAACGAUGAAGCCCUGCUUGCAGGGUGGAUUAGUGGCGAACGGGUGAGUAACACGUGAGUAACCUGCCCCUGACUCUGGGAUAAGCCCGGGAAACUGGGUCUAAUACCGGAUAUGACUUCCUACUGCAUGGUGGGUUGUUGAAAGAUUUAUCGGUGGGGGAUGGACUCGCGGCCUAUCAGCUUGUUGGUGAGGUAAUGGCUCACCAAGGCGACGACGGGUAGCCGGCCUGAGAGGGUGACCGGCCACACUGGGACUGAGACACGGCCCAGACUCCUACGGGAGGCAGCAGUGGGGAAUAUUGCACAAUGGGCGGAAGCCUGAUGCAGCGACGCCGCGUGAGGGAUGACGGCCUUCGGGUUGUAAACCUCUUUCAGUAGGGAAGAAGCGAAAGUGACGGUACCUGCAGAAGAAGCGCCGGCUAACUACGUGCCAGCAGCCGCGGUAAUACGUAGGGCGCAAGCGUUAUCCGGAUUUAUUGGGCGUAAAGAGCUCGUAGGCGGUUUGUCGCGUCUGCCGUGAAAGUCCGAGGCUCAACCUCGGAUCUGCGGUGGGUACGGGCAGACUAGAGUGAUGUAGGGGAGACUGGAAUUCCUGGUGUAGCGGUGAAAUGCGCAGAUAUCACGAGGAACACCGAUGGCGAAGGCGGGUCUCUGGGCAUUUACU
rnacentral:rRNA from 1 species